CCCAGAGCUCUCCAUUGGGCGUCGCUCCCGGGGUCCCGCGCGCCGGCCGUGCUGAUUGGCCGCUGGGGCUUCAUUCACGGCCCCCCUACCGUCCGCGUACACACUCACGCCCCGGGGGCGCGGCCGCCACGUGGGGAGUGGCGCGGGGGUGGCCCUGGGACCGCACCCCCUCUCGUCCUGGCUGUGUGGGCCCCGCUUUCCCCCAGCGCUGGAGACUCCGAGCCCGGCCGGUCCCACAUUCCACGCGAGCUGAAUUCCCGCCCGCAUCCCGCCCGGGCAGCAGGGAUUGCCGGCUCCGGGAGGCGCUCGGGCUCCGAGAAGCGGCUCAGCCCCGCGCCCCUCCCUCCUCAGUACCGCUGCCGGCGGACCAGGAUUCCCGCGGGUCCUGGCGGCUGCGAGCGCGAGGCGGCGCGGAUUCGCGGCUCGGUUCCGGCGCGACUGCUCACCGCGCCCGCCUCGCCUCCCGCGGCUGCCAGCGUGCACUGGGCGCUCCUCGGCGCGUCUGCCCGGCCCGUCUCGGCUUUCCUUCUCCUUCCUCUAGUCCCAGCGUCACAACUCCGCCGACCUCCUCUGCCCUGAGAGCGCGUCCGGUGCGGGCGGAGUCGGACGGACUCUGGCUUCACGCCUCGCGCGGGCACACCUUCUCCCGGGCACUGAGGCCCAGGACUGUGAGCUCUGGGGCUCCGGGACUGGAUCUGCUUCACCUCUAUCCCCCAGCACCCAGCUCAAUUCCCGGUCUAUAGUACUCACCAAUAAAGAAUGCCUGU
rnacentral:lncRNA from 10 species